rnacentral:rRNA from 1 species
GUGGGGAAUCUUGGACAAUGGGCGCAAGCCUGAUCCAGCAAUGCCGCGUGCAGGAAGAAGGCCUUCGGGUUGUAAACUGCUUUUGUACGGAACGAAACGGUCCGGGUUAAUACCCUGGGCUAAUGACGGUACCGUAAGAAUAAGCACCGGCUAACUACGUGCCAGCAGCCGCGGUAAUACGUAGGGUGCAAGCGUUAAUCGGAAUUACUGGGCGUAAAGCGUGCGCAGGCGGUUUUGUAAGACAGGCGUGAAAUCCCCGGGCUCAACCUGGGAAUUGCGCUUGUGACUGCAAGGCUGGAGUGCGGCAGAGGGGGAUGGAAUUCCGCGUGUAGCAGUGAAAUGCGUAGAUAUGCGGAGGAACACCGAUGGCGAAGGCAAUCCCCUGGGCCUGCACUGACGCUCAUGCACGAAAGCGUGGGGAGCAAACAGGAUUAGAUACCCCAGUAGUCC